rnacentral:rRNA from 1 species
CCAGGGGCUUGCCCUAGUAACGGCGAGUGAAGCGGCAACAGCUCAAAUUUGAAAUCUGGCUCUUUCAGAGUCCGAGUUGUAAUUUGCAGAGGGCGCUUUGGCUUUGGCAGCGGUCCAAGUUCCUUGGAACAGGACGUCACAGAGGGUGAGAAUCCCGUACGUGGUCGCUAGCUAUUGCCGUGUAAAGCCCCUUCGACGAGUCGAGUUGUUUGGGAAUGCAGCUCUAAAUGGGAGGUAAAUUUCUUCUAAAGCUAAAUAUUGGCCAGAGACCGAUAGCGCACAAGUAGAGUGAUCGAAAGAUGAAAAGCACUUUGGAAAGAGAGUCAAACAGCACGUGAAAUUGUUGAAAGGGAAGCGCUUGCAGCCAGACUUGCUUGCAGUUGCUCAUCCGGGCUUUUGCCCGGUGCACUCUUCUGCAGGCAGGCCAGCAUCAGUUUGGGCGGUGGGAUAAAGGUCUCUGUCAUGUACCUCUCUUCGGGGAGGCCUUAUAGGGGAGGCGACAUACCACCAGCCUAGACUGAGGUCCGCGCAUCUGCUAGGAUGCUGGGCGUAAUGGCUGUAAGCGGCCCGUCUUGAAACACGGACCAAGGAGUCUAACAUCUAUGCGAGUGUUUGGGGGGUCAAGCCCGAGCGCGUAAUGAAAGGUGAACGGAGGGUGGGGAGACCCGGCGAGGGGUGCACCGAUCUGACCGAGCCUGGAGGUUUAG